AUUGAACGCUGGCGGCAUGCCUUACACAUGCAAGUCGAGCGGCAGCACGGGAGCAAUCCUGGUGGCGAGUGGCGAACGGGUGAGUAAUGUAUCGGAACGUGCCCAGUCGUGGGGGAUAACGUAGCGAAAGCUACGCUAAUACCGCAUACGAUCUAUGGAUGAAAGCGGGGGACCGUAAGGCCUCGCGCGAUUGGAGCGGCCGAUAUCAGAUUAGGUAGUUGGUGGGGUAAAGGCCUACCAAGCCGACGUUCUGUAGCUGGUCUGAGAGGACGACCAGCCACACUGGGACUGAGACACGGCCCAGACUCCUACGGGAGGCAGCAGUGGGGAAUUUUGGACAAUGGGCGCAAGCCUGAUCCAGCAAUGCCGCGUGCAGGAUGAAGGCCUUCGGGUUGUAAACUGCUUUUGUACGGAGCGAAAAGGCUCUCUCUAAUACAGGGGGCUCAUGACGGUACCGUAAGAAUAAGCACCGGCUAACUACGUGCCAGCCGCCGCCGUAAGAC
rnacentral:rRNA from 1 species